GGUAUAGCUCAGUGGUAGAGCAUUUGACUGCACAUCAAGAGGUUAUGUGUUCAAAUCACAUCAGGAUCA